CCUACGGGUGGCAGCAGUGAGGAAUAUUGGUCAAUGGACGCAAGUCUGAACCAGCCAAGUCGCGUGAAGGAUGACUGCCCUAUGGGUUGUACAUCUCUUUUAUCAGGGACUAAAACUAGGCACGUGUGCCUUUUUGCAUGUACCUUAUGAAUAAGGAUCGGCUAACUCCGUGCCAGCAGCCGCGGUAAUUCGGAGGAUCCGAGCGGUAUCCGGCUUUGGUUGGUUUAAAGGGAGCGUAGAUGGGUUGUUAAGGCCGUUGUUAAAGUUUGAGGCUCAAACGUAAGAUUGCAAUUGAUACUGGCAGUCUUGAGUGCAGGUGAAGUAGGCGGAAUGCGUGGUGUAGCGGUGAAAUGCAUAGAUAUCACGAAGAACCCCGAUUGCGAAGGCAGCAUACUAAACUGUGACUGACACUGAUGCUCGAAAGUGUGGGUAUCAAACAGGAUUAGAUACCCUGGUAGUC
rnacentral:rRNA from 1 species